GCAAUUGGGAUCGAUGACAUGCAUCAAUCAAGACAGCGAGCCUGACCACCCGAUGUAUAGGUUCUCACACAUGAUUAUACACAUCCAUUUAGAACAUCACAUACACAAACAAAUACAUUCCAAACUUGUCAGGUUAACACAAAAACAUCAUGAAAUGGAACCGAGAGCAUCGAUCUACAAAACCCAUAACGCUGACACAAUGUCCUUCUGAGCUACUAACGCAGCAUCUUCCCGAGGCAAGGGAGUUAACUGACGUAGAAACUAGACUUUUACAGUCAGUUAAUUCCCUUCCCUCGUAGAACAUCGAACAUCACAUACA